GACGAACGCUGGCGGCGUGCCUAAUACAUGCAAGUCGAACGCAUUUUCUUUCACCGUAGCUUGCUACACCGGAAGAAAAUGAGUGGCGAACGGGUGAGUAACACGUGGGUAACCUGCCCAUCAGCGGGGGAUAACACUUGGAAACAGGUGCUAAUACCGCAUAAUUCCAUUUACCGCAUGGCAGAUGGAUGAAAGGCGCUUUUGCGUCACUGAUGGAUGGACCCGCGGUGCAUUAGCUAGUUGGUGGGGUAACGGCCUACCAAGGCUGCGAUGCAUAGCCGACCUGAGAGGGUGAUCGGCCACACUGGGACUGAGACACGGCCCAGACUCCUACGGGAGGCAGCAGUAGGGAAUCUUCGGCAAUGGACGCAAGUCUGACCGAGCAACGCCGCGUGAGUGAAGAAGGUUUUCGGAUCGUAAAACUCUGUUGUUAGAGAAGAACAAGGAUGAGAGCGGAAAGUUCAUCCCUGACGGUAUCWACCARAAGCCCGRAAUMUUYGG
rnacentral:rRNA from 1 species